UACGUAGGGGGCUAGCGUUGUUCGGAUUCAUUGGGCGUAAAGGGUGCGUAGGUGGCGUGGUAAGUCGGGUGUGAAAUUUCGGAGCUUAACUCCGAAACUGCAUUCGAUACUGCUGUGCUUGAGGACUGGAGAGGAGACUGGAAUUUACGGUGUAGCAGUGAAAUGCGUAGAGAUCGUAAGGAAGACCAGUGGCGAAGGCGGGUCUCUGGACAGUUCCUGACACUGAGGCACGAAGGCCAGGGGAGCAAACGGG
rnacentral:rRNA from 1 species